AGAGUUUGAUUAUGGCUCAGGAUGAACGCUAGCGAUAGGCCUAACACAUGCAAGUCGAGGGGCAGCACAUGAAGUAGCAAUACGGAUGGUGGCGACCGGCGCACGGGUGAGUAACGCGUACGCAACCUGCCUACAACAGGGGAAUAACCCGUUGAAAGACGGACUAAUACCCCAUAACACAGGGAUCCCGCAUGGGAAUAUUUGUUAAAGAUUUAUCGGUUGUAGAUGGGCAUGCGUUCCAUUAGCUUGUUGGUGAGGUAACGGCUCACCAAGGCAACGAUGGAUAGGGGAACUGAGAGGUUUAUCCCCCACACUGGUACUGAGACACGGACCAGACUCCUACGGGAGGCAGCAGUGAGGAAUAUUGGUCAAUGGACGCAAGUCUGAACCAGCCACGUCGCGUGAAGGAAGACGGCCCUACGGGUUGUAAACUUCUUUUGUAAGGGAAUAAAGUGUAGUACGUGUACUAUUUUGCAUGUACCUUACGAAUAAGGAUCGGCUAACUCCGUGCCAGCAGCCGCGGUAAUACGGAGGAUCCGAGCGUUAUCCGGAUUUAUUGGGUUUAAAGGGUGCGCAGGCGGGAGAUUAAGUCGGCGGUGAAAUUUUGCAGCUCAACUGUAAAAGUGCCUUCGAAACUGGUUUCCUUGAGUGUGGAUGAAGUAGGCGGAAUUUGUGGUGUAGCGGUGAAAUGCAUAGAUAUCACGAGGAACUCCGAUUGCGCAGGCAGCUUACUAAACCAUAACUGACGCUCAGGCACGAAGGCGUGGGGAUCAAACAGGAUUAGAUACCCUGGUAGUC
rnacentral:rRNA from 1 species